AUGUUGCACUGGUAACUCACAUCUUGCAUCAAUCUUUCUCCAGCCCUGACAUCAAUAGUGGUAUUGAACGCAGUAAAGCUGACUAUUGUAUCAUUGAUCCUGCCGGCUGUAUUGCUCUUCCACCUGGUGAUGAGGAGGAGGAAAACUCUGAGCUCCGCCACUGAGCAAAGUGACAAAGCACGAACUGGACGGGCGGACUCACUGUAUGAGAGAAUCACAUUCAAGACCAUGAAUCCUGCAGCACCGAAAGAGCCAGCAGAGCACCAGGAGCACACUGUGUAAUAUCAGCUUGGAUUUCAGAAAUCCGUAAGGGUUACUUCGCAGGAGUGCAGAUAAAAUGUCUGUCUGCAAAGGCACCUGUAAGCUCAGUAUGUUGUGCAGCUGAACCCGGAGGUCACAAAAAGGUUAUCCUUGUCCUUUAUUAUAUCUACUGCUGCCUACCUUAGCAACCACUUGGGGUUGGAUGCAAGAUUCUAAUCUGAUUCACACAU